UACAGAGGUCUCAAGCGUUGUUCGGAUUCAUUGGGCGUAAAGGGCGCGUAGGCGGUCGUGACAAGUCACUUGUGAAAUCUCCGGGCUUAACUCGGAACGGUCAAGUGAUACUGUCGGACUAGAGUACAGAAGGGGCAACUGGAAUUCUCGGUGUAGCGGUGAAAUGCGUAGAUAUCGAGAGGAACACCUGCGGCGAAGGCGGCUCACUGGACCGGCAUUGACGCUGAGGUGCGAAAGCGUGGGGAGCAAACAGG
rnacentral:rRNA from 1 species